CAGUUCCAUUGUAGGGCUUCCUAGCAGGGGGUUGAGCUGGUUGGUUGGGGAUGGCUUGAUCAUUGUGAGCAACCAUGGCGAAGUUCUGAGAAGCCUUUCGCUUCUUCGACUUCUUGGAGGAUUCAGUCUGCUCAUCCUUCGGUUUUGAUUCCUGGACCGGUUUCUUGUCACUUUUUCGGGAAAGUUUACCUUUCCUGAUCUGAGAUUCAGUCAAGGUAGCGGAUAGCUCAAUGGCCUGUCUAACUGUAGUGGGAUUACUACCAGUCACAAUGUCUUGUACUGUAACACCCCAAAACUCGUAUUAUUAAUACGUAGGUAUGUUGCCAUGUUAAUUAAAUGAAAUACAAUAACUAAGUUAUUAAACUUAGUUAAAAGCCUAACAAAAUAAGUAAAGGAAUGAAAUUUGUGGCAACUAUGAUGGUGUGAUAAACUUGAGGGACUAGAAUUGCCAAAUUUGAAAUUUAAUUUAAUUAAAACAAAAAUCACACACACACAAGGAGUGUGUGUGCGUGAGAUCGAUCAGGAGAAGAGGAAGAAAGGGGUGAAACCCUAAUUCAAGAAAACCUUCAAAUUGAAAGGGGAAAUAAGCCCUAAUCGGAUGCAUGGACUUAGAUUCUUGAUCAUCCAGACUUUCUACACAUGAGGUAAGUUGUAGAAGUUAAUGUGAUGAAUUGGUAUGAAGUGAAUCUAUGAUUAAACUGUGAAAUCUCAUGAAAUUGUGCAUGUAGAGGUGUUAGAAUAACCAUUUAGACUAUGUGUUAUGAACAAGUUCAAGUAAUUUGAUGAUUUAAGAAGAAACCCACAAUUUUGAAUGAAGGUGGCGACAUGGGUGUUCUACCCAUGUCCAAUCCUUGCUUGAUGUAUUUAUUCCUAGCUUGAAAUGGGUUUUGAGAUGUUAGUUUAGGGUUAAUUGUAUGAAUGGGAUGUGAUUUUGAGCACUCUCUUGGUGAUUGGAAUUAAGUUAGUGACUAUGCUUAAACUAGUUGUAAACUAUGCAUAGUAGAUUGUACGCACACCAAGUGCUUGAUGAAAUGCUUAGGUGAGCUUAAUAGAUGAGAUUGUAUGCAAUUAAUGGAUGAAUACGCAUAGAAGGUGUUAAUGAUGUAAUUGAUAGUAAACUAACAUGAAUAAUGUGCUUUAGAUGAAGUUCAUAUGAUAAUUUGGGUUGAAUGCAUGUUUUGAUCAAAAUCAUGCAUUUGGGGAUUGUACCUUAUGCUUGUAUGGUGUGACGGUCACCAUGGAAUUGAUUAAUUUUUUUAAUGGUGAUUAAGAAGUGAAUGUGUACUAAAUAUAUAACAUAUGACCAUACUAGUAAAGGAUGAUGUUAUGAAUUACGCUAAGUUGUCUAAUUUAGCAAUGUGGUUGUCAAAAUGUAGAAUCAUGAAAGCUUAAGUAUGUGUGAAUUGAUUAUGUGUAUAUUUUGUAUGUGACUAGGUGAUCAUGUAGUUGUAUGUGUCAUACAACAUUGUGCAUGGAAUGAAUAUGAUGUCAUUAAUAUGGUCCACCAUAUCAACAUAACGUGUGUUCAAAAUGUUGGAAGUUAUAUGCUAGAAGGUUGACUUUCUGAAAGUCAGCCGAGAAUAUGUAGCAUGGUUAGGCCUUUUAACACAAAUAUAAGAAUCAAGAGAUCAUGGAAUGUGUGUUAGACAAAUUAAGUGCUAUUUGUGAUAACGAGUUGGAAUUCGAAAAUAUUGAGUAACGUGGUUGACAAUUCAUGUCGAAUGCGUGUUAGUGAAAGUUAAUGUAGAUAAGAGUUGGAAAAUGUGUGUUAAUAUGAAUGAGCACGAAUACUAACAUUAUUAUGGCAUGACGGCAUGAAAGGAUAGGAACCACACUAGCAUGGACCAAGCAUGGAAGGCUAACGGGUCAAAAUGAGACAAGGAAGCGGUUACGAACACGGAUGCACAAGGUCGUUAAAUGCUUGGAGCUUGCACGAGGAAGGAGUCGUUGUGGGAUACGGACUGUUAUGUUCCGUGCCUAAUAUUUAAAUCCUUAUGAACUUAUUAACUUACGCUUUGGACUUUAAACUUAUGAACAAUGGACUUAUGUUUUUG
rnacentral:lncRNA from 1 species